CCCGCUGAACUUAAGCAUAUCAAUAAGCGGAGGAAAAGAAACUAACAAGGAUUCCCCUAGUAACUGCGAGUGAAGCGGGAAAAGCUCAAAUUUUAAAUCUGGUGGCCCCGCCGCCCGAGUUGUAUUCUGGAGAAGCGUCUUCCGCGCCGGACCGUGUACAAGUGCCUUGGAACAGGACGUCACAGAGGGUGAGAAUCCCGUCUUUGACACGGACCCCCGGCGCUCUGCGAUGCGCUCUCGACGAGUCGAGUUGUUUGGGAAUGCAGCUCAAAACGGGUGGUAAAUUCCAUCUAAAGCUAAAUAUAGGCGAGAGACCGAUAGCGAACAAGUACCGUGAGGGAAAGAUGAAAAGAACUUUGGAAAGAGAGUUAAACAGUACGUGAAAUUGCUGAAAGGGAAACGCUUGAUGUCAGUCGCGUCGGCCGGGGGUCAACCUUGCUUUUUUCGCUGGGUGUACUUCCUGGUCGACGGGUCAGCAUCAGUUUCGGUCGCCGUACAAGGGCGGAGGGAACGUGGCACUCUUCGGAGUGUGUUAUAGCCUUUCGUCGCAUGCGGUGGCUCGGGACUGAGGAACUCAGCACGGCUUCUAGUUUGUGCUCAGGAUGCUGGCAUAAUGGCCUUAAGCGACCCGUCUUGAAACACGG
rnacentral:rRNA from 1 species